CUAAUGUCAUCAGAUUCCUGACCACUGGAGACAAAUUAAAGUGGACAGCUACUACCACUACUCAAAAGGAGACAAGACAGUCAACAAUCAUUCCACCCACUACACCAGUCACUCCAAAAAGAGACAAAGAAAAAGUGACGGAAAUGGCAUCCGAAGAAACAGCCAGUAACUUUUUGAUAAAGCAAAUUAUGCAGAACCCCGAGAUGCUGAAAGAAUAUUUGAAUUAUUUACAAAAGCCAAAAGAAGAAGACAAAAUAGAGGAGCCAGCAGGAUCAUCCGAAUCUACUUUUGAUCCUUUUGAUGAUCCCAUCGGUGGACAAAAUCCAAACGACUUUUGAAAAAGAAUGUCGGCCACCACAAAUGAAAGCAAAAUUCAAAUGAAAUGCAGAAUCGAGCCUCUAUAAAUAGAUUCAAGAUUCAGAAGACAGGCAUCGGCGAAGAAAUAUCAGAAGUUGUAAUAGACUUGUCUUAGUUUUCCUACGAUUACCACUCACUCCGAAGUUCUCCUACUAUUCCCACUCACUCUAAAUAACCAUUGUACUCCAAAGUCUUUGUAGAAGUGGAUUUCAUCAUUACAAUAAAGUCUUCAAGGUUGGAAUUCAUUACAAGCUUCCGUUAGGCACUCAACAAUCAAAACUUGAUUCAUGACAUAAAAUGCAGCACAACUCCAAGGUGAUUUUGAAGGUGUUAUUAAUCCUUUUUCUAUUAAUAUUUUUAUUUCCUUCUUACAAAAUUCUAGUAAUUCAGAAUUCAUCUGUAUUGGUCUAGCUUUUGUUGGAAUAUUCUUUUCUUCAAAGUCCUUUUCAUAAGGUAAUUCUAUCAUAUGUUGUUUUCUAUCCCAAAAAGCAUUAGGAAUAUCUGCACAAAUUUCUUUUUGAAAUAAUUC